rnacentral:tRNA from 1 species
GUUCAGUCUAUCAGAUGGUCCUAUAGUGUAGCGGUUAGCACUCUGGACUUUGAAGGGUGCAGUAGUAAUCCAGCAGCGGCGGUUCGAAUCCGCCUAGGACCUAC